AAUCAACGCUGGCGGCGUGCCUCAGACAUGCAAGUCGAACGCGAAAGGCUCCUUCGGGGGCCGAGUAGAGUGGCGCACGGGUGAGUAACACGUAGGUAAUUUGCCUUUGGGUGGGGAAUAACUCAGGGAAACUUGAGCUAAUACCGCAUAAUGCAGCGGCUCGACAUCGAGACAGUUGUUAAAGCGGGGGAUCGCAAGACCUCGCGCCUGAAGAGAAGCCUGCGGCAGAUUAGCUAGUUGGUAGGGUAAUGGCCUACCAAGGCGACGAUCUGUAACCGGCCUGAGAGGGCGGUCGGUCACACUGACACUGACAUACGGGUCAGACUCCUACGGGAGGCAGCAGUCGGGAAUUUUGGGCAAUGGGCGCAAGCCUGACCCAGCAACGCCGCGUGAAGGAUGAAAUCCCUCGGGAUGUAAACUUCGCAAGAAUGGAAGAAUAAGUAGGGAACAAUACCCCUAUGAUGACGGUACCAUUUGUAAGCUCCGGCUAACUUCGU
rnacentral:rRNA from 1 species